rnacentral:lncRNA from 1 species
AUGUGAAUGUGAGCUCACAAAAUAUCAUGUACUAUAGUCACCCUACUUUCUGCACUGAUGUGAGAUGAUAAAAUGGCUAUGUGAUAAGUGAGGCAAAUGCAGUAGGCAUUGCCAUGUAGUCUUAGGCUACUAUUGACCUUCUAUUUGACUAUAUAUCAGAAAGAAGAUCAUCUGCUUCACGUGAUCUUGGAUCCGUGAACCAUGAUGAUAUUGUUGGUUGGAUGUUAGGUACAGAUUUAUGUCAAUGACUAGUGAGCAGAUAUCAUAUAUAAUGUGUAUGCACUUGACAAAGGGACGAUUCACAUCUUGGGCAGACUGGGAUGUAAGGGCUCAAAUUUUGUCAUACUACUCAGAAUCUUAGGCAAUUUAAACCUUAUGAUGUGUAUACAUAAAUUUUAUUUAUGGACCAUGGUUGACCAUGGGUAACUGAAUCUGCAGUCAAUAAAACCACCAAUGUCAUAUUAUGAAAUAUAUAUUUGGUCUUCAACCCCAUUUUCUGUCAUACAACUCCUAAAAUCCUCAGAAUUUCCAACAUGAUAUCAUUUGUAUGCUCUCCAAUACAUGAAGGCAUAUGGAGAAUACAUGGAUGUUCCCAGAGGGUGAGUGCCCUGGGAGGACAUGGAAGCAUGUUACUUUCCCCCCGUAUCUUGCACUAUGCAUCUCUUUAUCUGUAUCCUUUAAUAUUCUUUAUAAAAAACUG